AUACUUACCUGUGCAGGAAGAUAUCAUUAUUACAAAGGUGGUUUCCCCAGGGCAAGGCUUCUUAUCUAUUGCACUCUGGAUGUGCUGACCCCUGUGAUUUCCCAAAAUACGGAAAUCUGGACUUCAUAGUUUGUGGUACUGGAGGCCUGCAUUCACUUUCUCCAG